rnacentral:tRNA from 2 species
GGAGAAGUCGCAUAGUGGCCGAGUGCGUACGCCUGGAAAGCGUAUAUGGCAGCAAUGUCAUCGCGGGUUCGAAUCCCGCCUUCUCCGCAA